AUUUUAGAGAGACCAGGAGCUCUAAAAUAUGGUAUUAAUAAUUUUAUAAAACAUCUAACCCUACCUUAAUCCCUAACCGCCAUUAACUCGUUGGCAUAUUGUGUAGUUACAAAUAGUCACAUAGAUAGAUAGAUAUAAGCUUUAUCAGUAGGUAAUGUUAAUCGAUAUUUUUCACAAUUUUAGCUGUGAUUGCUCGACACCUUGCCAAACUCGAGGAAGGCAUCAAGGAACUGCAAUUAAACCAAAAAGAAAUAUUGGAAAGACUACGCUCUGGAGCAACUGCGACGGCUGUAGCUGUUGGUUAUCAAGCCCUGUCCCUGCCAGAAGGAGUCAAUUUACCAUGCACCCAGAUCGAAGAGAUUAAAAAGAUUGAUGUCUGGCUAACAGUGGACGAAAAUUACAUGCUACUUGUUAACCACUUGAGCUAUGUAGGCGGUAACAAAACAUCAGCAAUAUUAAGGAGGAUUCUUGAAAAACUGUUUUCAAACAAACUUGCGGAAAUCUGUAAUUGGUCAGGCAAAAAUGGAAAACAUAAGCUACAAGAUCACCUUUUAAUUAAAGUUGUUACUGAAGCUCUCCGUCGGCACAAAGUCGCCGAAACGGCUACAGAAAACGAGAUAAAGACCGUGGUUAGCAACUGGUUCCGCUUCUCCAAAGAUAGAGAUGGAGGUCGAGAAAGCAGACGCAGGAUAAUUGAGCCAACUUC